CCUACGGGGGGCAUCAGUAGGGAAUCUUCGGCAAUGGACGAAAGUCUGACCGAGCAACGCCGCGUGAGUGAAGAAGGUUCUCGGAUCGUAAAACUCUGUUGUUAGAGAAGAACAAGUAGGAGAGUAACUGCUCUUACCUUGACGGUAUCUAACCAGAAAGCCACGGCUAACUACGUGCCAGCAGCCGCGGUAAUACGUAGGUGGCAAGCGUUGUCCGGAUUUAUUGGGCGUAAAGCGAGCGCAGGCGGUCUUUUAAGUCUGAUGUGAAAGCCCUCGGCUCAACCGAGGAAGGUCAUUGGAAACUGGAGGACUUGAGUGCAGAAGAGGAGAGUGGAAUUCCAUGUGUAGCGGUGAAAUGCGUAGAUAUUGGGAGGAACACCAGUGGCGAAGGCGGCCUGCUGGACAUUAACUGACGCUCAGGUGCGAAAGCGUGGGGAGCAAACAGGAUUAGAUACCCUCGUAGUC
rnacentral:rRNA from 1 species